rnacentral:rRNA from 1 species
CAACUUUCAACAACGGAUCUCUUGGCUCUCGCAUCGAUGAAGAACACAGCA